rnacentral:rRNA from 1 species
GACAGAGGAUGCAAGCGUUAUCCGGAAUGAUUGGGCGUAAAGCGUCUGUAGGUGGCUUUUUAAGUCCGCCGUCAAAUCCCAGGGCUCAACCCUGGACAGGCGGUGGAAACUACCAAGCUGGAGUACGGUAGGGGCAGAGGGAAUUUCCGGUGGAGCGGUGAAAUGCGCAGAUAUCGGAAGGAACACCGGUGGCGAAAGCGGCGCGCUGGACCUCUUCUGACGCUGAGGCGCGAAAGCCAGGGGAGCAAACGGGG